rnacentral:rRNA from 1 species
UAGGGAAUCUUCCACAAUGGGCGCAAGCCUGAUGGAGCAACGCCGCGUGAGUGAAGAAGGUCUUCGGAUCGUAAAACUCUGUUGUUAAAGAAGAACACGUAUGAGAGUAACUGUUCAUACGUUGACGGUAUUUAACCAGAAAGUCACGGCUAACUACGUGCCAG